CCUACGGGGGGCAGCAGUGAGGAAUAUUGGUCAAUGGACGAGAGUCUGAACCAGCCAAGUAGCGUGAAGGAUGACUGCCCUAUGGGUUGUAAACUUCUUUUAUAUGGGAAUAAAAUGUUCCACGUGUGGGAUUUUGUAUGUACCAUAUGAAUAAGGAUCGGCUAACUCCGUGCCAGCAGCCGCGGUAAUACGGAGGAUCCGAGCGUUAUCCGGAUUUAUUGGGUUUAAAGGGAGCGUAGGUGGAUUGUUAAGUCAGUUGUGAAAGUUUGCGGCUCAACCGUAAAAUUGCAGUUGAAACUGGCAGUCUUGAGUACAGUAGAGGUGGGCGGAAUGCGUGGUGUAGCGGUGAAAUGCUUAGAUAUCACGAAGAACUCCGAUUGCGAAGGCAGUUCACUGGACUGCAACUGACACUGAGGCUCGAAAGUGUGGGUAUCAAACAGGAUUAGGUACCCUAGUAGUC
rnacentral:rRNA from 1 species